rnacentral:rRNA from 1 species
GAGUUUACAACUCCCAAACCCAAUGUGAACGUUACCAAUCUGUUGCCUCGGCGGGAUUCUCUGCCCCGGGCGCGUCGCAGCCCCGGAUCCCAUGGCGCCCGCCGGAGGACCAACUCAAACUCUUUUUUCUCUCCGUCGCGGCCUACGUCGCGGCUCUGUUUUAUUUUUGCUCUGAGCCUUUCUCGGCGACCCUAGCGGGCGUCUCGAAAAUGAAUCAAAACUUUCAACAACGGAUCUCUUGGUUCUGGCAUCGAUGAAGAACGCAGCGAAAUGCGAUAAGUAAUGUGAAUUGCAGAAUUCAGUGAAUCAUCGAAUCUUUGAACGCACAUUGCGCCCGCCAGUAUUCUGGCGGGCAUGCCUGUCCGAGCGUCAUUUCAACCCUCGAACCCCUCCGGGGGGUCGGCGUUGGGGAUCGGCCCCUCACCGGGCCGCCCCCGAAAUGCAGUGGCGGUCUCGCCGCAGCCUCUCCUGCGCAGUAGUUUGCACACUCGCACCGGGAGCGCGGCGCGGCCACAGCCGUAAAACACCCCAAACUCUGAAAUGUUGACCUCGGAUCAGGUAGGAAUACCCGCUGAACUUAAGCAUAUCAAUAA